GAUGAAGAACGUAGUGAAAUGCGAUAAGUAGUGUGAAUUGCAGAAUUCAGUGAAUCAUCGAAUCUUUGAACGCACAUUGCGCCCCUUGGUAUUCCAUGGGGCAUGCCUGUUCAAGCGUCAUUUGUACCCUCAAGCUUUGCUUGGUGUUGGGUGUUUGUCCCGCGUUGCGCGUGGACUCGCCUUAAAGCGAUUGGCAGCCGGCAUAUUGGCCUUGGAGCGCAGCACAUUUUGCGCUUCUAGUCAUGAAUGUUGGCGUCCAUUAAGCCUAUACAUUUGCUCUUGACCUCGGAUCAGGUAGGGAUACCCGCUGAACUUAAGCAUAUCAAUAAGCGGAGGA
rnacentral:misc_RNA from 1 species